GAGUUUGAUCAUGGCUCAGGAUGAACGCUGGCGGCGUGCCUAAUACAUGCAAGUCGAGCGAACGGACGAGAAGCUUGCUUCUCUGAUGUUAGCGGCGGACGGGUGAGUAACACGUGGAUAACCUACCUAUAAGACUGGGAUAACUUCGGGAAACCGGAGCUAAUACCGGAUGAUAUUUUGAACCGCAUGGUUCAAAAGUGAAAGACGGUCUUGCUGUCACUUAUAGAUGGAUCCGCGCUGCAUUAGCUAGUUGGUAAGGUAACGGCUUACCAAGGCAACGAUGCAUAGCCGACCUGAGAGGGUGAUCGGCCACACUGGAACUGAGACACGGUCCAGACUCCUACGGGAGCAGCAGUAGGGAAUCUUCCGCAAUGGGCGAAAGCCUGACGGAGCAACGCCGCGUGAGUGAUGAAGGUCUUCGGAUCGUAAAACUCUGUUAUUAGGAAGACAUGUGUGUAAGUAACUGUGCACAUCUUGACGGUACCUAAUCAGAAAGCACGGCU
rnacentral:rRNA from 1 species